rnacentral:siRNA from 1 species
UACUUAGCUGGUGCCAUUGUC